rnacentral:rRNA from 1 species
AAGCUCGUAGUUGAAUUUCGGGAUCAAAUUGUUGGUCGUGCUUCGGUACGCACUGGCAUUAUUGGUUCCUACCUUCUGAAGAACCGCGAUGUCAUUAAUUUGGUGUCGUGGGGAAUCAGGACUGUUACUUUGAAAAAAUUAGAGUGUUUAAAGCAGGCGUACGCUUGAAUACAUUAGCAUGGAAUAAUGAAAUAGGACGUUUGAUUCUAUUUUGUUGGUUUCUAGGAUCGACGUAAUGAUUAAUAGGGAUAGUUGGGGGCAUUAGUAUUCAAUUGUCAGAGGUGAAAUUCUUGGAUUUAUUGAAGACUAACUACUGCGAAAGCAUUUGCCAAGGAUGUUUUCAUUAAUCAAGAACGAAAGUUAGGGGAUCGAAGACGAUCAGAUACCGUCGUAGUCUUAACCAUAAACUAUGCCGACUAGGGAUCGGAUGAUGUUAAUUUUUUAAUGACUCAUUCGGCA